GUUCACAGAAUCAGAGUGAUCAGUCAUGAUCAGAACCACUCAGUGAUCAGAACUCAGAUAUGGCAGAAGCAAAGAACUUUCUCUAUGCUUUUUGUGGAAAACGUAAAGUGAAGCCAACGUACAACACCAAUAAUACACCUGAUGGUCGCUUUCAAUCGCAGCUGACCAUCCCAGGUUUCGAAUACUCAUCAAAAGGUUUUUCAGAAAAUAAGAAAGAUGCAGAGACUGAAGCAGCCAAAGAUUUUUGCGGUUACUUGAUUGGUGCAGGGCUGGUGCCAGCUGAAUCAUUGCCUGAUAGUGUAUUUGCAAAUGAGAUGAAUGCACCAGUACCCCCAUUACAAGCAGGAAGUGGGCCAGGUCCAGUUCAACAACCACCCUCACAAAUUAAUCCACAAUCUAUGCAAGAGCAACAGAUGCAACAACCACAAUCCUUUGGUGGUCCUCAAACAUCAAACUCCAGGGGUCCACAUUCAUUAAUGAAUGCACCUCGUCCUCCUCCAAACCUCCAACAAGGUGGUGAAAGAAAUUAUCAUUAUAGUAUUUACAACAAGCGUCAAUUUGAAGAGGCUGAGGAAGUUGAUCUCAAUGCACAUUUACAUGGUAACUGGACUGUUGCUAAUGCCAAAUCACGCCUCCAUCAAUAUUUGCAACAAAAUCGAUGUCCAGCUGAUUUUAAAUAUACCACUGGAGGGCCAGAUCAUAACAGGCAUUUCUCAUGUGAGCUUUCAGUGUUUGUUCGAUCUCACCACAGAACUAUAAAGGCAAAAGAACUUGCAUCAACGAAGAAGCAAGCAGCCCAAAAAGUUGCACUCAGUUUAGUUCGUCAACUCUUCCAUCUGGGUGCUAUUGAUGCAGCUGAACCUGGCCAAUUGCAGGCGAAGAAAUUAAAAUCUGAUGAGCUUGAUCCAAUCGAUGUUGGUAUAAGUCCUGAUCUGGAAGUGCAAGUUACUGCUCUGCUUACUGAUUUAGGCAUUGUGCCUGUCCAAGAGCCAAAUGGAGAGGAAGCAGUGAACAUUGUGUUAAAACGUGAAAAUGAUAAGUUUGAUGACCAAGAACAAAGUGUGGACUCUGGCGUUGUGGAAUGGACUGCACCCAACAUGAACUGGAAUCCCUGGGUGAACCAACCAACUGUAAUUGAAGGUGCAGAGGAGUAUCAGGAACCACUACCAACCAGUGAAGAUUUUCGUAAGGAAUUAACAGACCGUUUGAAUGGUGAUCCAGCCUUGCAGCAAAUGUUGCAACAGCGUUCCGAGUUACCAGUUGCGGGUUACAAGGAUGCUUUGUUGCAAGCGGUCAAAGACAAUCAAGUAGUGAUCGUAAGAGGUGCCACUGGUUGUGGUAAAACUACUCAGGUACCCCAGUUUAUUCUCGAUGACUUCAUACAGCAAGGCCGUGGGACCGAGUGUAAUAUUAUUGUCACACAGCCACGUCGAAUCAGUGCGAUGAGUGUUGCCGAAAGGGUAGCGGCAGAAAGAGCUGAGAAUCUUGGAUGUAGCACGGGUUAUUCCGUCAGAUUUGAUUCAAUUUUACCUCGAAGUCAUGCCGCGAUCAUGUUUUGCACUGUCGGGGUGUUUCUGCGAAAGCUAGAGAGUGGUUUACAUGGAAUUUCUCACGUUGUCAUUGAUGAGAUUCACGAAAGAGAUAUUAAUACUGACUUUUCUCUGGUUAUAUUGCGUGAUAUGGUUGUUAGAUUUCCUAACCUGCGUGUCGUUCUUAUGUCUGCCACUAUCGAUACCCAAAUGUUUCAUAAAUACUUCAACUUGUGUCCAAUCAUUGAAAUCGAGGGAAGAUCUUAUCCUGUUCAAGAAUAUUACUUGGAGGAUGUAAUAGAGAUGCUUGGGUUUGUUCCGCCGUUAUCAGACAAGAAGAAAAAGCGUGAAAAAGAUGACACCGAAGUGGAAGAAGAGGAUAACUGUAACAUGAUAUGUAGUGAUGAUUAUUCUUUUCAAACAAAGAACGCGAUGGGACAACUCAGUGAAAAAGAAAUGUCUUUUGAGUUGAUACAGGCAUUAUUAAACUACAUUGCUGGACUAGAUAUUCCUGGUUCAGUUCUCAUCUUUUUACCCGGCUGGAACUUGAUAUUUGCAAUCCACAAAUUCCUAUCCCAACAUCCCGUGUUCGGUGGACGAGACUAUCGCUUGUUACCAUUGCAUUCGCAAAUACCUCGGGAGGAUCAAAGGCGUGUUUUUGAACCCGUACCUCAAGGUGUUAGGAAGAUAAUUUUGUCUACAAAUAUUGCAGAAACAAGUGUCACUAUAGACGAUGUGGUCUUUGUCAUUGAUUCUGUUAAAGCUAAGAUGAAAGUAUUCACCUCACAUAACAACAUGACAAAUUAUGCCACAGUCUGGGCGUCAAGAACGAAUAUGGAACAACGUAAAGGCCGUGCUGGUCGAGUGAGGCCUGGGUUUGCUUUUUACCUUGUAAGCCGAGCUAGGGCCGAAAGAUUAGCAGAACACGCAACUCCAGAGAUUUUACGCACACCACUACACGAGUUGGCUUUGACUAUCAAGUUGCUGAAGCUUGGAGAUAUUCGCGAUUUCUUGAACAAAGCAAUCGAACCUCCUCCAUUGGAUGCGGUCGUUGAGUCUAUCGCACUCUUACGAGACAUGGAUGCCCUUGACAAGGAUUCUCAGCUCACUCCUCUUGGCUAUUUGUUGGCUAAACUUCCGCUAGAACCACGACUCGGAAAGAUGGUUGUUUUAGGCUGCAUCUUCAACUGUGGUGAUGCGUGUGCGACAAUUGCAGCGAGCACUUGUUUUCCAGAACCUUUCGAGACACCGUCAGAUCGCCGAAGACUAGGCUGGGUUCACAAGCAGUUCUCAGGCCGUCGUCAUAGCGAUCACGUUGCAAUGUUGAGUGCUUAUCAAGCUUGGGAAGACGCUCGAUCUGUGGAUGAAACCGCUGAGAUGCAGUUCUGUGACAGCCGUCAACUCAAUAUGGCAACAUUGAGAAUGACAUCUGAAGCACAGCUUCAGUUAAAGAAUAUCCUUUGUGAUGCUGGUUUUCCUCAAGAUUGUAUGCAUCCCCAACCAUUCAAUUUCAACGGCCCCGAUUCUCAAUUAGACAUAGUUGUGGCCUUGUUAUGUUUUGGGCUCUACCCGAAUAUCUGUGUUCACAAAGAAAAACGUAAAGUACUAACUACGGAAGGAAAAGCUGCUUUGAUUCAUAAAUCUUCUGUGAAUUGUUCAAACCGGGAGCAGACAUUCCCAUCACCUCUUUUUGUCUUUGGAGAAAAGAUCCGAACGCGAGCAGUCUCGUGUAAACAAAUGACAAUGGUUUAUCCUGUACAAAUUUUGAUCUUUACCCACAGUGAAGUCGAGUCUGAAAAAGAAAUCAUCAAGAUUGAUAACUGGAUCAAACUUCGCAUGCCUCAUAAACAAGCAGCUGCUUUGGUGGCAUUGCGAAAAGCUAUUGAUGUUUUGUUGUGCCGCGUGGCCCAGUCCCCUGAGAUCAUCAUGUACCCCAACCAUGAAGAUGGUCGUAUAAUCAGCAUGUUCAAAAAUCUCGCAAAAGCUAAUGUUGGUCAAACGUUUCAGCAAAGGCCUCUGAUGGGGGGCACGGGCGCUGGAGGACCGCCCAGGGCACGAGGGAUACGCGGUGGUUUCACGGGGCCCAGAGGAGGAAGACGCGGUUACCAAGGUCCAAGGCACUUCAGAGCCCCUAGAGGUGGUGGCUUUGGUGGAAGCAGAGGGUUUAGAGGUGGACCGAGAGGCGGUUUUAGGGGGAAUUUUGGUCGUGGUAACUUUUAAAAAAUCUUAUAGUACCCGAAUUCUGCAUUCUAGCAGCCCAUCAAUCUAGCAAUCUGUGCUGGCGUCGGGCCUAAUUAUUAGCACUCGGUGGUUCUUCGUGUAGUAAAUAAAUCUUCAAAAUAUGCCGAAGCUCAUCUUCUCAGCAGGCCCGUUCCUUGUCCGGGCCUGUGUGAACGUUGCCAAGGUAUUUUAACGGAAGGAGGAAGUUUUUAAAAAAGAAAAACAGGGAGCCCUUUUUUUGAAUGUGGCUUGCAUUUUGAAUGUGGUGAAUCGAAAGUGCAGUAAAGGUUGCUUUGUUUCCCUCUUUGAAAUGUGGUGUUAGACAUGAACGCAUUGUAGUCAUUGUAGCUGUGGAGUGUGGUUUGCGUGUUAUGUAAUUUACAAGAACUCUUUAUUUGUCUAUUUGAAUAUUUUAACAAUUUAACUAGUUUCACAUUCUUUGUCGUCCCAAUAUAAUAAAUAUAUAUUAUGAUUACAAAAUGAACAAAUUAUUUAAAUCCUAUGUCCACAUAGAUUACUUUAUACAAUAGAAUUAAAACAUAGUUAAAUGGAAUAAAUAAAGUCUGGUAAGAAAGGCAGGAAGUUCAUUUUCGCGCACUUCAGACAGAAAAUGUUUCCGGAAAAUUGUAAAAUGAAAUGUUUAUCAUUUGCGUGCCUUUUUAAUAAUAAUGCUCCAGGGUACUUGGUGUGUUUGAAAUAAGUGAAAGUUUUUCUGUUCUUUAAAAAUUUCGACAGAUACUGUAUUUGCAUAUGCAUCAUGACCAGUUGUGACUUUUAUCGCAGCCAAAACAG
rnacentral:misc_RNA from 1 species